UGGAUGAGUGACAUGUGUCAGAACCGGGAUUUCAGCGACUGCUUUUCAGAGCUAUGAGGUGCAGAGUUAACAGGGAAGCUAAAUUACAUUAACCGAGCGCAAAAAAGGGACAGAAAUGAACCAAAGGAGAAGAAUGCAUGGGGUUUCAUCCCGCAGUCCAGCUUCCUAACUCCCUCAUUCCAAGGUCAAAGACCUCCCAGAAUAAUAUACUGUGCGUGUGGCAAAAAUGAACUAUGUGGCAAUGCACCAGAUCAUGAUGAGAUUGUGGAAAAAAGCCAUUCGGAUGAUUUCUAGUACUUCAUCAAAUCCUACUUCAAAUGUUGUCAUGUACCAUAAGUCAUAACAUAAAAGGAAGUCUGAUGUUUCUCUAAAAGACUGAUAUUUAUUAUUUUUGUAGGUCAAUAAAACAAAGGAGUUUUUUUUUUCUGCCAGUCAAAAUGAAGACACCAUGCUGUUACCUAAUCAGAAUGCAAUGUAUAUUUUUCUAAUGCUUUAAAUGAAAACAAUUUAAUAGUUAACCACAGAACAAGAUAAUAAAUUAUUGGUAAUAUAAUCUAGACCUAACAACUUGUUUUUUGAAAUAACAUUGUAUUCAAAUUAAAGAAUGCUACAUGCCUUGCUUUCACUUCAGUAUUUUUUCAGGAUGUAUUUUGUGAAGCAGGAGACAGUGUCUCAAAAUGAAUGCCUGCAAAGUCUUCACAUUUGAAAGCAACAGAACUGUGAAAUGAAGCAUAAACCAUACAGUCUGUGCUAUAUUCAAAAUUAAACUUUUACAUCAGGUGUUAAAAAUA